UACAGAGGGGGCUAGCGUUAUUCGGAAUUAUUGGGCGUAAAGGGCGCGUAGGCGGCCAUGCGUGUCUUCCGUGAAAUCCCUCGGCUUAACUGAGGACGUGCGGAAGAAACUGCAAGGCUCGAGUCCGGGAGAGGGGGGGGGUGGAAUUCCCAGUGUAGCGGUGAAAAUGCGUAGAUAUUGGGAGGAACACCGGUGGCCGAAGGCGGCCCCCCUGGACCGGAACUGACGCUGAGGCGCGAAAGCUGAGGGGAGCAAACGGG
rnacentral:rRNA from 1 species